AUCUUGACUCUUCUUCUUACGUUUGGUUGCAUAUUUUACACUUGUCUAUUUAGUUUUGGUGUAAUGACGUAUAUGUCGAGUGUGGUGAACCUGUAUUUAGUAUAGUUUUUUGUGGCUCAAGGUGAUGCGAGACCUAGUAUCUGGAGGGUGAUUUUUGCCUUUGAUUACAUUGGGAUCACACACUCCUUCAUCCUACUUUCUAAACUAUCACUAUUGAGCGAAGCCUAUAUAUGUUUGUAUGCUUGGAAGGCAACAUCUCUUACAUUCUUGUAGAAAG
rnacentral:lncRNA from 1 species